rnacentral:rRNA from 1 species
GAUGAACGCUGGCGGCGUGCCUAAUACAUGCAAGUCGAGCGAACAGAUAAGGAGCUUGCUCCUUUGACGUUAGCGGCGGACGGGUGAGUAACACGUGGGUAACCUACCUAUAAGACUGGAAUAACUCCGGGAAACCGGGGCUAAUGCCGGAUAACAUUUAGAACCGCAUGGUUCUAAAGUGAAAGAUGGUUUUGCUAUCACUUAUAGAUGGACCCGCGCCGUAUUAGCUAGUUGGUAAGGUAACGGCUUACCAAGGCAACGAUACGUAGCCGACCUGAGAGGGUGAUCGGCCACACUGGAACUGAGACACGGUCCAGACUCCUACGGGAGGCAGCAGUAGGGAAUCUUCCGCAAUGGGCGAAAGCCUGACGGAGCAACGCCGCGUGAGUGAUGAAGGUCUUCGGAUCGUAAAACUCUGUUAUUAGGGAAGAACAAAUGUGUAAGUAACUGUGCACGUCUUGACGGUACCUAAUCAGAAAGCCACGGAUAACUACGUG